UUGACCUUUGUGUUGGUUUGUAUUGUGUCUUGGCCCUUCCUGUGGCUUAUUAUGUAAUGUUCUCUUUCAUUCUCCUUGCUCUUCCUUUGUUUUUUCUGGUUUCUCAUUUAUUUCCUUUUUUUUUUUUCCUCUGUACUGUUUUCUCCUUUUUGUAUUUUUCUCUGUCUUCUGUUUGUUGCCAUUUUCAUUUUCUUCAUUUAUUAUGAGAGGUAGCACACUUAUUUUCCCUUUUAUUCUUUUUUUCUUUUAUUUCUUGUCAUUUUCCUGUUUUUCUUCUACAUUGUAUUUAUUGUUGACCUCAUCUUUCCUUCCUUCUAAAUGCUCUUGUUUAUAUUUUCUACUUUUUUUUUUCCUUUUCUCCUUUUCCCUUGUUCUUCUUUGUCAUGUUUCAUUUCAGUUGGCCUUUGUUUUCCUCUUCUCUCCUUCCUUUGAAAUGCUCUUGUUUGCUUUCUUCUUUCUACUUCUUUUCUAUUUCUCUUCCUUGUUCUUCUUUAACCUGUUUAUAUAUAAUUUCAUGUGGCUUUUCUUAGCAUUUAUUUAUUUAUUUUAUUUAUCUAUUUUUUUUUAAUGGGAUCAUGAAGAACAAUAUAAAACAAAAUCACUUCAUCUCUUUCUGUGUAAGGGAGACUUAGGCAAAAAAAAAAUAAAAAGAUAAAGUAAAAAAAAUAAAGAAAAAAAACUCACCCAUUAUGCUAUUCUCCAAAAAAGAAAAGAACUAGGAUUGGUAGCACAUUAAUUUUCCCUCUUUCCUUCAUAGAAAAACUAGUAUUUCUUUAGUGGGCCAUUGAGGAAAAAGGAUGCAAGAUAGAACAAUUUAUUCUUAUCUUUACCCCAGAAGCCCACAAUACCAUUCCCUAAAGAUAAAGAGAACUAAGAGAGAUACCCAGUUUAGCUUCCAUCUUUCCUCUAUAGAAAACGUAUCUCUUCAGCGUAUCACUCAGGGAAGGGAUACGUGAAAGAACAGCAUAUUCUUAUUAGUCUUCCCCAUAAGGCUCUCUCACUGUAUCGUUCCCUAAAAGAAAUAGAAAAAAAAAAAAAAAAUGAGACUGACAACCAAUAUAAUUUCCAUCUCUCUCUUGUACUGAAAAACUUAUUUCUUCAGUGAGUUGACAUGGAAAAGUAUACAAGAUGGAACCAUUUCUUCUUACCUGUCUUUCCCCCAAAGAGAUCAUGAGUUAGUACUAGGAAGGAUACCCAAUUUAGCCCUUGUCUUUCUUCAGUGGGACAAUAAGGAAAAGGAUACAAGAUAGAAGCAUUUAUUCUCAUCAGUCUUUUCUCCCCAUAUAUAAAAAUCACAUUACAUGAUUGCCAUUGUGGUCAUUAUGUGUGUUGGGAGACAGACACGUACUGAGGGAGCAUCUCAAGAGAACUGGUGUCAGGUCUUGGAGGAAACACGUAUAAAUUGCACGGAAAAAAAAAAAGUAAAGUAGCCUUGAGUUAUAAUGUGGUUGUCAUUCAUUACGAAAUUCAUAAUAAUCACUUAUGCAUAAAUUGAUGAGUUUUUUUACUUUAUUUAUUUUCUACAUUCUCUUGCCCCAAAAAAUAUCACACUAAUAUCUAUACUGAAAAAAACACAGCAUUGUAGACUAAACUGGUUAUGUCCAACACGUUCCUUUCAAAAUUCACAGCAGUAAUCAUUUAAUUCACUCCUCACAAUAGCACAUACAUUACACAUAUAUAGAAAGGAUCAAUGUAGAUGCCAGUAGUUAUGUGCUUGCUGUUCAGUAUAAAAUUAAUUGUAGUAAAUCAUUUAAUUCACUCAUUUGCACAUACAUUCCACUUACACAGAGAAAAGAAUAGUGUAAAUGUCUGGUUAUGUACUUGGGAUUCUUUACAAAACCCAUCCCUUGCUGUAAUCACUUCAUUCACUUCUCACACACUCUCACACACACACAAUGCACCCACACCCACAUGUCACUAAGACCUCUGAGCUGUAAGGUUUUCACUCACACCAGUCGCAGGAGGAUUAAAGCAUAUGAAAAGUUUGGUUUGGUAUUUUAUGUGACAAUUUGGCAUCAUAUCCCUUCUAAAAACCCUCACUCGCACUGAUUGCAGGAGGAUUAAAAUGUAUGAAAAGUUUAGCUUGGUUGGUAACUAUUUCAAAUGAGUGGCAAGCAGACCAUAUUCAUACCAAAAGCCUUACUCAGCUGGUCACAGGAGGAUCAAAAUGUAUGAAAAGUUUGGCUUGGUCAGUAACUCUUUCAAAUGAGUGACAAAUGGACUUUAUAUCCUUACCAAAAGCCCUUAUUUGUAUAUCGGAUGUUGACUUGAGGCCUUCAUCUUCUAAUCAAGGCAAUAUGCACGGAAAUUACUUUUUUUCUUUUCUUUUUUGUAGAUUGUAAUGUGUAGAAGAACCUGGAUAGGAAAAUACAAACCCAUACACUUGACAAACAUGAACAGGGCAGUGUAGUACAAGGUUAUGGUGUGUGUGAAAAUUACGUUUUUUUUUUCUGGAUUAAUGGAAGUAAUGGCUGUAGAAUUUCAGACAAGUGACAAACAGACUUCAUAUCUCUAUCAAAAGCCCUAAUUUGUAUGUAGGUUAUUGACUUAAGGCUUUCACCUACUAACCAAAGCAAUACCACAGAACCACAGUAUCUAGCAAGUAAUAGCUAUAUAAUUCAAGAUGUCUUGCCACUCACAACCCACACACAAGGCUAAGGCAGAUGGGACCAUUACAGUUGCCCAGAACAAACCACAUGAUUCCUCCUUCACAUCGUUCCUGCUCACACUAACACACACACACACAUUUGGCACAUCUCACCAGCUUCACCUGAACAUUUAUUGCAGUCAUUACAAGAGGGAAGCUUCAGGAAUGAGGCUCAGGUUGGUGAAGGACAGAGGAAGUGGCUUGGUUGAGGUGGAAUGUAGUAUAUGUAGCUUAUUGGAAUGGUUAGGUCAGGUUAGGUUAGAGGGACUGAUGAAGUGGCUUGCUCAGGGUGGAAUGCAGCUUAUUGAAAUGGUUAGGAUAGGUUACAUUAGAAGAGAUGAAGUGGCUAGCUCAGAGUGGAAUGUAGCUUCUGUUAGGAGAGGUUAGGUUAGAAGCAGUACCACACAGUUUACAGAUAUGGCAGUACUCCAGCCUAUGUGGAUAUUACCUGAUAAUCUUUGUGUACUGUGCUAGUAGUAAUUAUCUGUAGGAUACAUUAUCAUAGCAGUUAUAAGGUGACCCUCUUAGGAAUCAUUCCCAUGACAUGCUUCUCAUAUUAGGGUGCAGCCAUUUGUGAAGGGAAGGGUCAAGGCCUGGGUGUGUGGAUCUUUUAUGUAAGAGGGGCCUUGGACAACAAAAAUGGAAGUAAAUAAAUAAAUAAAUAAAUAAAUAAAUAUGGCCCAAUGGGAUGAUAUUGAAUGUUGAAAAUUUAGCUCCAAGAUGCAUUGAGUUGAAAUUUAUUGCCAUUAAAAUUCAGGAGCCUCCAGAUUGGAAAUAUACAGGUUUUACAUUCUAUACAAUGUCAUUUAUUUUUACACAUAGGGUGAGAGAUUGUUAUUGGCUGUACAAGGAAAUUAAGAGAGAAAGAUUUUUAUCGAUGUUGAAGAGCAAAAAGAAGAAACAAAACAAACACACACACACACACACACA